UGGAACCCUAACCCUAACAAUUUCCUUUGCAGAUUUAGACUCUUUGUUUCUCUGUUUGAUUUCCAUCAGCUCUAAUGUGGAUUCUUACACUCCAACCUCAGGUGAAGUUUGAGCGCUUACAAGCUUUAAAGAAGCUCUAUGAAGAUCCAAAUCUGGCUUUCUCAAGGUUUGUUCGGAAAGCGAUUGCCGACUGUAGUUGUUGGUUCAUACACUAACAUAAUACCUAUUAUGUCAGUUGUUCAAGCCAGCAUAUACAAUUCAUAUACAGAUCUUAUGAGAGGUUUACUCAAACAAUUAGGGGAAUACAAGGUGCCAUGAUUAUAAGCGGAAGUUUCCAAAUGGUUAUGGGAUUCUUAGGCUUAUGGAGAAAUGCUACCAGAUUCCUUAGCCCACUUUGUGGUGUCCCUUGUGUAACUUUCACUGGACUUGGUCUCUAUCAUCUUGGUUUCCCUAGGUAUUAGGAUAUUGAAAUCUUUGUUUUUGUUUUGUCCAUGGCUGUUAUGUUUUGAUCUUUUGCAUCCUUUGGUUUUUCCUAUUUGUGGGAUUUGUCUUUCUUUAGUUUCAUUGUAUUAGGAUUUCAUGUGGUGCUCCCUGCUAUAUAUAUCAUGCAAUAUUAUGCACUUAACUCCUUGUAAUUACAUCUUGUAUAAUUUGUCUUUUAAGUAAAUAAAAAAUUGUUUCUAACCAAA